GACGAACGCUGGCGGCGUGCUUAACACAUGCAAGUCGAACGGAAAGGCCUGCUAUCCCUUGUGGAUUGCGGGUACUCGAGUGGCGAACGGGUGAGUAACACGUGAGUGAUCUGCCCCCAACUUGGGUGUAAGCCUGGGAAACUGGGUCUAAUUCCCGAUAGGACUGCAGGGUGGUGCCUGUGGUGGAAAACGAUUUUCUAGUGGUUGGGGAUGAGCUCGCGGCCUAUCAGCUUGUUGGUGGGGUAAUGGCCUACCAAGGCGGCGACGGGUAGCCGGCCUGAGAGGGUGGACGGCCACAUUGGGACUGAGAUACGGCCCAGACUCCUACGGGAGGCAGCAGUGGGGAAUAUUGCACAAUGGGCGGAAGCCUGAUGCAGCGACGCCGCGUGGGGGAUGACGGCCUUCGGGUUGUAAACUCCUUUCGACCGCGAGGAAGCCACCUGGUUGGAAGGGUGGUGACGGUAGUGGUAGAAGAAGCACCGGCUAACUACGUG
rnacentral:rRNA from 1 species